AUCAAAACCAAAAAUAAUAACAGUUGUCAUCAACCAAGACAAGACCGGCAUGUCCGCCGCGUCAAGAUGCCUCGUUUCCCUUUCUCACGCAGAUCCUCUUCUUACGCCCCUGCAUGCUCCCCCAUUCUGCUACUCAGACAUAUUUCAAGAUCCAGUUGAGAACGUUCAGUGCGGAGGCCGGAAACGAUGGUUCAGUGAGUUGCCGAAGCGACACCCCGGAUAAUGACCCGCUAUUCGAAGCGGACUGGUGCAGUUCCCGUCAAGUGCGGAAUGAUGGCCUUGUGGGAUAAGUGGGGUGCCAGGAUUCCCAUCACAAUUCUUGGUUAGAUGAUAACAUCGUCUCCCAAUUUAAAACCCCCAAAAAGGAAGGCUUUUGUCACUUCCGGUUCACAAUCUGUAUAUAAUAUAUGCUGCCUCUCUUUUGCUUUUGUUAUUUCUUUCUUUUACGUUUAUUUGAUUCGUCUAUAUGUUACAACGUUGCACGAUAUUGUGCUCAGCUCGUCUUAGUCUUGGAUAUGAUUCACAAAACUUGGGUGGUUUUUGAAAUAACUUUUGUUGGUUCAAGUCAGUUAAUUGUUGCACCUGUUAAAAAUAAACAAUUUGCUUGAGAUGCUGAUGCAGUAAAGCAUUAUGGCCUAGAAAUGCUGUUCAAAUACUUGGUAGACAAAGCAAGUUUUAGAAAUCAUAAAAACUUUACAUCAAGAUGGUCACGGGCACUUUCAAAGGGUUAGAGUGUAUGACCAUUCACAUUUGAUAUAUACUGCUUACUCAGAUUUGAUUUAACAGUCUCGAAGUCUAUCUUUGCCUUUAUCUAUAAUACUUUGAUGGGCUAAUGCUCUGGUGGCAGCUAGACUGGAUGUGAACAAAAAAAAAAACAGAAGCAUUCGUUCAAGCCAGAAGUAGGCCAUUAUAGAGCUCAAGGCGUGCCCAUGAAAAUGGAGCUGAGGGAGUUUCCUGUGAAUGAGGAUGCGCUUCUCCCAGGUGGAACUUCCAUAGGUGCCCUCCAUUUUCUUCCAGGACAGUAUGUGGAUGCCACUGGAAUUACAAAAGGGAAGGGUUGUCAGGUUCCAGGUGCAACAGGAAACUUUGAAUUCAUAAAAGAUGUUGUGUAUAUGAUGGGGAUUUUACUGAAUCACGGAGGUCGCAAGACGUGGUCGCACGGCUGAUUGCGAAUCAGUGUCAGUGGAAGACAUUACUGAGGUCGCUCAGUUAGUCAUUAUUCGUUGCGGGUUAUGGAUAUCCCUUUCGGGUCAGACUAAUCCAGAUCCGACCCACAUAAGGACCCAGACAGAUGGCAUGCUAAGGGAGUGCUUAGUCAUUGCAUGAACACAUUUUGAGGCGAUACGCAUUAGAAGAUAGGACCCACAAAAGAACCCUAUAAAUAGCCCACGCCAUGACAAUGAGAGAUAUUAGAUUCGGAGUGGUGACGUGGAGAGGUCGAGAUUUGUGAUCGAGAUCGAGCGUGAUCAACCCGGAUCAGUAUAGGAACCCACACAUUU